rnacentral:lncRNA from 1 species
UGUUCUCAUCAAAUGUUAUCAAAUUUCCAUUGUGAGUUUACGUAUCCCUUAUUUUACGCCAUUUAUUAAAUUCUAAAAUGCACAGAUUUUUGCUUUUUUGCAUUAUUUCUGCAAUUAUGAUGAAAACAAUGCAGUUUUUAAGUAAACUUAGGUGGGAUCCAGCAGUGAAGAGAACAUUUUCCUAGCCCUUUGGUGCUUUCAUUCUCAUGGAGCAAGAGACAAUGAAACACAGGUAUACCUAGGAACCUAACUACAAAAGCAGUUGGUGAUAAGUGCCCUGGAGAAAAAUAAAGCAGAGCAGGAGUUCCCACGGCGGCACAAUGGGAUGGGUGGCAUCUCUGUAGCACCAGGAUGCAGGUUCAGUCCCCAGCACAGUGGGUUAAGGCCUCGGCAUCAUCCAUUGCCGCAGCUGCAGUGCAGUCAUGUGCCACAGGGUGGCCAAAAAAGAAAAAUAGUAGUAAUAAUAAUAAUAAUAAAGCAAAGCAAAGAUGUUGCUAAUUUAGAUGAAUUGAUCAGGUCUCUAAGAUUAGCAGGGAAUUCAAUUAGGUUUAAGGGAAUUUGAUUAGAUCCACCACCCUGCUGCACUUGUGUCACCUUUGUAUCAGUCAUUGCGUGUUAGGGAGUCAGGUUUAGUGGAACACAUCUGCAUUAUAGCUUUUGUAAGAAAUGCCACCGAAGUUUCCCAGUCUUCAGUCUGAACCAAGUAAUGUUACUCACUUUUGUAUGUGAAUUUACUCCCUCACUCUGGGUGGUCAGUAAAUUUUGCAAGACAAAGAUUUUACUCAUCUACAUCCACAGUUCAAACUUCCUAUACUAUUCAGUGAAUUUUUUUUUAUCUCAAAUGUAAAUACAUUCACCAGUAAAAUCAAAAACAUAGCUCUUCAUUCAUUCUCUCUUUGAAAUGAAAAGAAAAGAAAAUAGGAAUAAAAAUACAAGUUGAGCUCCUCUCAAGGAAAGAUAUAGACCAGGAUGACAAGGAGCUCAAUGUCUUUGAAAAGACAAAAGCUCAGGAGUUCCUGUCGCAGAGCAGUGGAAACAAAUCCGACUAGGAAACUUGAGGUUGCAGGUGUGAUCCCUCGCCUCACUCAGUGGGUUAAGGAUCCAGCGGUGUUGCCAUGAGCUAUGGUGUAGGUCACAGACACGGCUCGGAUCUGAUAUUGCUGUGGCUGUGGCGUAGGCCAGCAGCAAUAGCUCCGAUUCAACCCCUAGCCUAGGAACCUCCAUUUGCCAUGGGUGCAACCCUAAAAAGACAAAAGACCAAAAAAAAAAAAAAAAAAAAAAAAAGUUCUAGCAAAAUCAAUAUGGCAAGAAAAGGAAAUAUAUUUGGAUUGGAAAGGAAAAAAUAAGAAAACCCUCCCAAUUUACAUGUGAUGUGAUUUACUAUGUAGAAAUUCCCAAGGAACCUACCAAAAAAAAAAAAAAGAAAGAAAGAAAAGACAAAAGCUCAGAAUGCAAAAGUUAGGAAACAUCUAUCAGAAAAUGCUGUUUGUUCAACACCAGAUGGCACUCAGUUAUUAAUUUGCCUGGUGCAAGGCUCAUAGAAGACUAGAGACCUUUUUUUUUUUUUAAAUCGAGGUAUAGUUGAUUUACAAUAUUAAGUUUCGUGUGUACAACUUACUGAUACACGAUUUUUUAAAGUUAUACUCUAUUUAUGGUUAUCAUAAAUAUUGGUUAUAUUCCCUGAGCUGUACAGCAUAUUCUUGUAGCUCAUUUUUCUCCUUUGCUUUUUAGGGCCGCACAUGCAGCAGGUGGAAGUUCCCAGGUGUGGCCCUAAAAAGACAAAAAAAAAAAAAAAAAAAAAAAAACCCAAAAAACAAAAAACCUGUCCAGUGAUUUAUGUGCUUAACAUGGGCCAUCAAUACUAUAUUAAAAUUAAAUCGUGGCAUGAUUAUUUUACCUCUCAAUACACAAUUUGAAACAAUAAGGUAAAAUUCUACCUCAAAACAAAAAUGACACAGUAAAUUCCUAAACAGCUAUCUUUCAAUUUCAAAACUCCACAAACCCCCACAACACUGUUGAUAACAUAUCUUAUUUUUAUUUUUUUACAUCUUAUUUUUAAAGUUAAUUUUGGAUUUACGAGAAAUGACUUUACACUUUUUGGGGUCUUCGUUUUUGCAACUACCCUUUUAUCCUUUUAUGAAGUAAUGAAAAACGUGGCCCACUUGAAAGCAGGGAAAAAAACUAUCAGAAACAGAAAUGCUCAUUUUGUAACUUGGUAACAUGAAUCUUCAGUUUAGCUAAUUGAGCAUGAAGACUCAAAAAAGGCCUGGAUUGUUCCAAUAAUUGUUUAGAAUUUUAGACACCAUCUGACCUUUGACCUUAACAAAUAGAUUUCAAUGUCCUGGUCCUCAGUAAAUAAAAAUAAAGGCUGACCCACCUCUUUUUAUAAAGCAACGCACAAAGGGCUAUUAUUACCACGACUAAGGACACGAUGAUGUCAUUAGCAGCACUCAAGCCAUCAGACCCCUCUGGGCUAUAUUUAGUUUUAUUUGCCUAAUUUCAUUUUGAAUACACUAUCUUUGUUUUCUUUGGAAUGAACGUUCUACAACGGAUCACUUUUUUUUCUAAAAUCCAAUCAUCCCACAACUUCUGUGAGAUCUUUUGUAACGACAUAUUUAGGUUGUUAUUUCUCCAACACAAAGACCUGCCCGACAGGAAGUUGUAAUUAUGCUACAGUGCUAUGUAAAUAUCCCAGGCACUUCGAUUCGGCGUCAGACAGAUUAUCUUUCUCCUCCGUUUCGUCAGAAGGUUGACCACCAUCCCCAGCACUGACGACACGUGCCCGCGAUCCUUUAGGAGCGUCCCUAACCCUAAAGGAACAGGUGCAGGGCUUGGAUGAACCCUGCAGACAGGCAGCCGAGGCACCUGCGGGCCUC